UACGUAGGGUGCGAGCGUUAAUCGGAAUUACUGGGCGUAAAGCGUGCGCAGGCUGUUCUGUAAGUCAGAUGUGAAAUCCCCGAGCUCAACUUGGGAACUGCGUUUGAAACUACAGGACUAGAAUAUGUCAGAGGGGGGUAGAAUUCCACGUGUAGCAGUGAAAUGCGUAGAGAUGUGGAGGAAUACCAAUGGCGAAGGCAGCCCCCUGGGUCAAAACUGACGCUCAUGCACGAAAGCGUGGGGAGCAAACAGG
rnacentral:rRNA from 1 species